AGGUAUUAAUGAAUAAGUUAUUCUUACUUGCGCUUUUGGGCUUUGCCCUUAUUGCACUAACAGGUGCUAAAAAUGAAGGCAAUAGUUUUCAAAUCAAGGAAGCAGAAGACCUUGAGAUAAGGGAAGUAAGAGAAGCAAAUCCAGCAAAUAGUGAUGCUACUAAGAAGGCUGAUAGGAAAGCUGCAAAAAAGGCUCUCAAAAAAGAAAAGAGCAACAAGUCC